UUGACCCAGACCGAACGGCAGGACACCGUCGGGGGUUCGCUGCAACGCAUCGACGACUUCCACAGCUUCUCAGGCCAAGGCUACAAGGUUUUGAUGGAACCGGUCGUAUUGAACCGUGAAAGAGCCGCAACGGACCAAAGAAAACGGAUGCCUAUCUUCAGGUUGUUCGACAACUACCGUGAUGAAGAUUUUUAUGGGCUACCGCAGAAAUACAGUAUUGUCGCUCGGGUAGAAGUUAAAUUCUCGAUUGAACCACGUUUUCGUGACAGACAACAUUUCGUUUUAUCUGACAUCAAUGGAGCCAAGAUCGAGGCCAUAACAUAUAUGUAUGAGACAGUCAAACAUUUCGACAAUUUGCUCCAUGAAAAGCAUGUUUACAAGAUGCAUAAUGUAAAGUUCAGUCUUCAUCCGGACAUAAUGGCUAUUGUAGUCCACUUGGAUACAAUUCAUCGCACAAUGUGGGGCCCUUUCAGAAAGAUUGUUAUAAUGGAUGCUAGGGGAUGUUUACAUAUCAUUAAAACGGUUCAGAAGAUAAGAGUGCCUCUAAUCUUCGGAUCAUACCGCAAUACACUUCAAUCUGUUCCAUCACAACACCCAUCAUUUUGGACCAAUUCAAAAAGCUUUGGUGGCGCGGAACAACCGUCAGUUUGCUGUUACAUUUCUUGA
rnacentral:misc_RNA from 1 species